UACGUAGGGUGCAAGCGUUGUUCGGAAUUACUGGGCGUAAAGGGCGCGUAGGCGGGCCUGUAUGUCGAUUGUGAAAGCCCUGGGCUUAACCCGGGAAUGGCAGUCGAAACUGCAGGUCUUGAGUGCCUGAGAGGAUGGCGGAAUUCCCGGUGUAGAAGUGAAAUUCGUAGAUAUCGGGAAGAACACCUGAGGCGAAGGCGGCUGUCUGGCGGUGCACUGACGCUGAGGCGCGAAAGCGUGGGGAGCAAACAGG
rnacentral:rRNA from 1 species